rnacentral:rRNA from 1 species
CAGUCGCCACGGUAAUACGGAGGGUGCAAGCGUUAAUCGGAAUUACUGGGCGUAAAGCGCACGCAGGCGGUCUGACAAGUCAGAUGUGAAAUCCCCGGGCUUAACCUGGGAACUGCAUUUGAAACUGUCAGGCUGGAGUCUUGUAGAGGGGGGUGGAAUUCCAGGUGUAGCGGUGAAAUGCGUAGAGAUCUGGAGGAAUACCGGUGGCGAAGGCGGCCCCCUGGACAAAGACUGACGCUCAGGUGCGAAAGCGUGGGGAGCAAACAGGAUUAGAUACCCCGGUAGUCCCUGUCUCUUAUCC